rnacentral:lncRNA from 1 species
ACAGGGGCAGGGGGUGUGUGCCAAACUCCUUCUUUGCUGAGUAGAAAGCUUCUGAAUUUCAAGCAGAAAGUGGAAGGAGCUCCACAGAGCAAUAUCUUGGGCUGCGUGUGCAGAGCGUAGACAAUGAAAAUCUCCGCCCCCUCCCCCAUGCUCUCAAGUCUUCAAGAUUUUUUUCUUUCCUUCACAACGAUGGAAGCUAUGUAAAAAUCAAAUACACAGAGAUGUAUAUACUUUUUUUUUUUUAAAGCACAGACUAACAAACCGAAGGACCUGACCAUGGAUUAUUCAAGGACUCACCUGCUGCUUAUAUGGAGUAAAAUAAUGUAGAAUGCUGCAUCACCUCAGCGCCGUGAAUUUAGAAGUUCCAGCAUGUUGUGAAGCAGACACAUCUUUGCUAUGAACACUGUGACUCACUACAUCAGUGCUGGUAUAAUAAAAUGCUUCUAAUGAUGUAGCUGUUAAAUUUUCUAAAAUAAAGAUCAGUUUAUUUUGUGAUGGCACAAUGAAA